AUACUUACCUGGCAGGGAAGUAUAAAUGAUCCAUGAUCACAAAGGUGGUUUUCCCAGGGCAAGGCUUAUCCAUUGUACUCCGGAUGUGCUGACCCAUGGGAUUUCCACAAACGUGAGAAACUCAACUGAGUAAUUUGUGGUAGUGGGGGACUGUGUUUGUGCCCCAA
ensembl:snRNA U1 U1 spliceosomal RNA